GACGAACGCUGGCGGCGUGCUUAACACAUGCAAGUCGAACGAUGAAGCGGGUGCUUGCACUCGUGGAUUAGUGGCGAACGGGCGAGUAACACGUGAGUAACCUGUCCUUUUCUUUGGGAUAACGGCUGGAAACGGCUGCUAAUACUGGAUAUUCAGGCUGCAUCGCAUGGUGUGGUUGGGAAAGGUUUUUUCUGGGAUUGGGUGGGCUCGCGGCCUAUCAGCUUGUUGGUGGGGUGAUGGCUUACCAAGGCUUUGACGGGUAGCCGGCCUGAGAGGGUGGUCGGUCGCACUGGGACUGAGAUACGGCCCAGACUCCUACGGGAGGCAGCAGUGGGGAAUAUUGCACAAUGGACGAAAGUUUGAUGCAGCGACGCCGCGUGGAGGGUGUAGGCCUUCGGGUUGUGAACUCCUUUUUCUCGCGAAAAAGGCACAGUUUUGGCUGUGUUGAUGGUAGUGGGGGAAGAAGCGCCGGCUAACUACGUG
rnacentral:rRNA from 1 species